rfam:Nematostella vectensis strain CH2 x CH6 NEMVEscaffold_1238_Cont35461, whole genome shotgun sequence.
UAUCUGGUUGAUCCUGCCAGUAGUCAUAUGCUUGUCUCAAAGAUUAAGCCAUGCAUGUCUAAGUAUAAGCACUUGUACUGUGAAACUGCGAAUGGCUCAUUAAAUCAGUUAUCGUUUAUUUGAUUGCACCUUUACCACUUGGAUAANCCGUGGUAAUUCUAGAGCUAAUACAUGCGAAAAGU